rnacentral:rRNA from 1 species
UUGAACGCUGGCGGCAUGCCUUACACAUGCAAAUCGAACGGUAACGGGCCUUCGGGUGCCGACGAGUGGCGAACGGGUGAGUAAUACAUCGGAACGUGCCCGAUCGUGGGGGAUAACGAGGCGAAAGCUUUGCUAAUACCGCAUACGAUCUACGGAUGAAAGCAGGGGACCGCAAGGCCUUGCGCGGACGGAGCGGCCGAUGGCAGAUUAGGUAGUUGGUGGGAUAAAAGCUCACCAAGCCGACGAUCUGUAGCUGGUCUGAGAGGAUGAUCAGCCACACUGGGACUGAGACACGGCCCAGACUCCUACGGGAGGCAGCAGUGGGGAAUUUUGGACAAUGGGCGCAAGCCUGAUCCAGCCAUGCCGCGUGCAGGAUGAAGGCCUUCGGGUUGUAAACUGAUUUUGUACGGAACGAAAAGCCUUCUUUUAAUACAGGAGGGUCAUGACGGUACCGUAAGAAUAAGCACCGGCUAACUACGUG